CUGCUUUGGCAGCAUAUACACUAAAAUUGGAACGAUACAGAGAAGAUUAGCACGGCCCCUGCACAAGGAUGACACGCAAAUUUGUGAAAUAUUCUAUAUUUAA
rnacentral:snRNA from 1 species